AUUGAACGCUGGCGGCAUGCCUUACACAUGCAAGUCGAACGGCAGCACGGACUUCGGUCUGGUGGCGAGUGGCGAACGGGUGAGUAAUGCAUCGGAACGUGCCAUUGAGUGGGGGAUAACGUAGCGAAAGUUGCGCUAAUACCGCAUAUUCUGUGAGCAGGAAAGCAGGGGACCGCAAGGCCUUGCGCUCUUUGAGCGGCCGAUGUCAGAUUAGCUAGUUGGUGAGGUAAAGGCUUACCAAGGCGACGAUCUGUAGCGGGUCUGAGAGGAUGAUCCGCCACACUGGAACUGAGACACGGUCCAGACUCCUACGGGAGGCAGCAGUGGGGAAUUUUGGACAAUGGGGGCAACCCUGAUCCAGCCAUGCCGCGUGAGUGAAGAAGGCCUCGGUUGU
rnacentral:rRNA from 1 species